rnacentral:rRNA from 1 species
AGGACGAACGCUGGCGGUGUGCUUCACACAUGCAAGUCGAACGGGGUAGCAAUACCUAGUGGCGGACGGGUGAGUAACGCGUGGGAAUCUGCCUUAAGAUGGGGGAUAGCAAGCCGAAAGGCUUAUUAAUACCGCAUAUGUAUACGAUCAGACAUGGUUGUAUAUGAAAGGAGUAAUCCGUCUUAAGAUGAGCCCGCGUCCGAUUAGCUAGUUGGUAGGGUAAAGGCCUACCAAGGCGACGAUCGGUAGGUGGUCUGAGAGGAUGAUCACCCACAAUGGGACUGAGACACGGCCCAUACUCCUACGGGAGGCAGCAGUGGGGAAUAUUGGACAAUGGGCGAAAGCCUGAUCCAGCCAUGCCGCGUGAGUGAUGAAGGCCCUAGGGUUGUAAAGCUCUUUUGUGCGGGAAGAUAAUGACGGUACCGCAAGAAUAAGCCCCGCUAACUUCGUGCCAGCAGCCGCGGUAA